AGUUCUAGCAGUAUUGGAGUGGAGUUUUUUGGGAUUAGAGCAGAGACCAAUGAAUUAGAAACUAGAAAUACAGUACAGCAGAUCAAAGAAACUAAAAGAUGGUUUUUUGAAAGAAUUAAUUAGAUUGAUAAAACACUGGCCAGACUUAUCCAAAAGAAAAGAAACAGGACCCAAAUUAAUAAAUUAUGAAUGAAA